CUAGAAACAAAAAAUGAAAGUGGAGAAAACCAAACAAGAAUCUUUCUUUCUUAAAGUAAACAUCGGACUGACAUCUCCUUUCAAACAUUCAUUGAGGAUCUACUCUGUGAGAAGAAGCAAUACCAUGUUAUCUCAUUCUAGUUCCAGUUCUAGUUGACUUGAUUGUCAAACGACUGCUAAGAAGUAGAGAGGAGGCUUCACCAUGUUUGCCAGGCUAGUCUGGAACUCUUGAC
rnacentral:lncRNA from 1 species